CCGAAUACAACAAGAGUAGACUUUACCGUGAAAUGCUUACUUACAAGCCCUUAACCAACAGUGCAGUUCAAGAAGAGUUAAGAAAAUAUUGACCAAAUUAACUAAAGUAAAAAUAAAUAAAAAAUGUAACAGAAUAACAAUAAGGAGACUAUUUACAGGGUCAAUGUGCGGGGGUACAGGUUAGUCCAGGUCGUUUGUACAUGUAGGUAGGGAUGAAGUGACUACACAUAGAUAAUAAACAGAGAGUAGCAGCAGUGUACAUGUAGGUAGGGGUGAAGUGACUAUGUAUAGAUAAUAAACAGUGAGUAGCAGCAGUGUACAUGUAGGUAGGGGUAAAGUGACUAUGUAUAGAUAAUAAACAGUGAGUAGCAGCAGUGUACAUGUAGGUAGGGAUGAAGUGACUAUCCAUAGAUAAUAAACAGUGAGUAGCAGCAGUGUACAUGUAGGUAGGGGUGAAGUGACUAUCCAUAGAUAAUAAACAGUGAGUAGCAGCAGUGUACAUGUAGGUAGGGGUGAAGUGACUAUGCAUAGAUAAUAAACAGAGAGUAGCAGCAGUGUACAUGUAGGUAGGGGUGAAGUGACUAUCCAUAGAUAAUAAACAGUGAGUAGCAGCAGUGUACAUGUAGGUAGGGGUAAAGUGACUAUGUAUAGAUAAUAAACAGUGAGUAGCAGCAGUGUACAUGUAGGUAGGGGUGAAGUGACUAUCCAUAGAUAAUAAACAGUGAGUAGCAGCAGUGUACAUGUAGGUAGGGGUGAAGUGACUAUCCAUAGAUAAUAAACAGUGAGUAGCAGCAGUGUACAUGUAGGUAGGGGUGAAGUGACUAUGCAUAGAUAAUAAACAGUGAGUAGCAGCAGUGUACAUGUAGGUAGGGGUGAAGUGACUAUGUAUAGAUAAUAAACAGAG